GUGCUUACUUUGGCAACACAUAUACUAAAAUUGGAAUGCUACAGAGAUUAGCAUGGCCCCUGUGCAAGGAUGACAUGCAAAUUUGUAAAGCAUUCCAUUUUUUA
rnacentral:snRNA from 1 species